UACGUAGGGUGCAAGCGUUAAUCGGAAUUAUUGGGCGUAAAGGGCGCGUAGGCGGUGCGGUAAGUCUGCAGUGAAAUCUCUGGGCUCAACUCAGAGUCUGCUGUAGAAACUGCCGUGCUUGAGUGUGGGAGAGGUGAGUGGAAUUCCCGGUGUAGCGGUGAAAUGCGUAGAGAUUAGGAAGAACACCAGUGGCGAAGGCGGCUCACUGGCCCGGUACUGACGCUGGAGGCGACGAAAGCGUGGGGAGCAAACAGG
rnacentral:rRNA from 1 species